CUACGGGCUGCUGCAGUGAGGAAUAUUGCACAAUGGGGGGAACCCUGAUGCAGCAACGCCGCGUGGAGGAUGACGCAUUUCGGAGUGUAAACUCCUUUUAUAUGUCAAGAAAAUGACGGUAGCAUAUGAAUAAGCACCGGCUAACUCCGUGCCAGCAGCCGCGGUAAUACGGAGGGUGCAAGCGUUACUCGGAAUCACUGGGCGUAAAGGACGCGUAGGCGGGUUGGAAAGUCAGGUGUGAAAUCCUACAGCUUAACUGUAGAACUGCACUUGAAACUUCUAAUCUAGAGUAUGGGAGGGGGAGAUGGAAUUAGUGGUGUAGGGGUAAAAUCCGUAGAUAUCACUAGGAAUACCUAAAGCGAAGGCGAUCUCCUGGAACAUUACUGACGCUAAGGCGUGAAAGCGUGGGGAGCAAACAGGAUUAGAUACCCUAGUAGUC
rnacentral:rRNA from 1 species